GAUGAACGCUGGCGGCGUGCCUAAUACAUGCAAGUCGAGCGAACGGACGAGAAGCUUGCUUCUCUGAUGUUAGCGGCGGACGGGUGAGUAACACGUGGAUAACCUACCUAUAAGACUGGGAUAACUUCGGGAAACCGGAGCUAAUACCGGAUAAUAUUUUGAACCGCAUGGUUCAAAAGUGAAAGACGGUCUUGCUGUCACUUAUAGAUGGAUCCGCGCUGCAUUAGCUAGUUGGUAAGGUAACGGCUUACCAAGGCAACGAUGCAUAGCCGACCUGAGAGGGUGAUCGGCCACACUGGAACUGAGACACGGUCCAGACUCCUACGGGAGGCAGCAGUAGGGAAUCUUCCGCAAUGGGCGAAAGCCUGACGGAGCAACGCCGCGUGAGUGAUGAAGGUCUUCGGAUCGUAAAACUCUGUUAUUAGGGAAGAACAUAUGUGUAAGUAACUGUGCACAUCUUGACGGUACCUAAUCAGAAAGCCACGGCUAACUACGUGCCAGCAGCCGCGGUAAUACGUAGGUGGCAAGCGUUAUCCGGAAUUAUUGGGCGUAAAGCGCGCGUAGGCGGUUUUUUAAGUCUGAUGUGAAAGCCCACGGCUCAACCGUGGAGGGUCAUUGGAAACUGGAAAACUUGAGUGCAGAAGAAGAAAGUGGAAUUCCAUGUGUAGCGGUGAAAUGCGCAGAGAUAUGGAGGAACACCAGUGGCGAAGGCGACUUUCUGGUCUGUAACUGACGCUGAUGUGCGAAAGCGUGGGGAUCAAACAGGAUUAGAUACCCUGGUAGUCCACGCCGUAAACGAUGAGUGCUAAGUGUUAGGGGGUUUCCGCCCCUUAGUGCUGCAGCUAACGCAUUAAGCACUCCGCCUGGGGAGUACGACCGCAAGGUUGAAACUCAAAGGAAUUGACGGGGACCCGCACAAGCGGUGGAGCAUGUGGUUUAAUUCGAAGCAACGCGAAGAACCUUACCAAAUCUUGACAUCCUUUGACAACUCUAGAGAUAGAGCCUUCCCCUUCGGGGGGGCAAAGUGACAGGUGGUGCAUGGUUGUCGUCAGCUCGUGUCGUGAGAUGUUGGGUUAAGUCCCGCAACGAGCGCAACCCUUAAGCUUAGUUGCCAUCAUUAAGUUGGGCACUCUAAGUUGACUGCCGGUGACAAACCGGAGGAAGGUGGGGAUGACGUCAAAUCAUCAUGCCCCUUAUGAUUUGGGCUACACACGUGCUACAAUGGACAAUACAAAGGGCAGCGAAACCGCGAGGUCAAGCAAAUCCCAUAAAGUUGUUCUCAGUUCGGAUUGUAGUCUGCAACUCGACUACAUGAAGCUGGAAUCGCUAGUAAUCGUAGAUCAGCAUGCUACGGUGAAUACGUUCCCGGGUCU
rnacentral:rRNA from 1 species